UACGUAGGGUGCGAGCGUUGUCCGGAAUUAUUGGGCGUAAAGGGCUCGUAGGCGGUUUGUCGCGUCGGGAGUGAAAACGCCGUGCUUAACACGGCGCUUGCUUUCGAUACGGGCAGACUAGAAUUCGGCAGGGGAGACUGGAAUUCCUGGUGUAGCGGUGGAAUGCGCAGAUAUCAGGAGGAACACCGGUGGCGAAGGCGGUUCUCUGGGCAUUACCUGACGCUGAGGAGCGAAAGUGUGGGGAGCGAACAGG
rnacentral:rRNA from 1 species